CUACGUGCCAGCAGCCGCGGUAAUACGUAGGGUGCGAGCGUUAAUCGGAAUUACUGGGCGUAAAGCGAGCGCAGACGGUUACUUAAGCAGGAUGUGAAAUCCCCGGGCUUAACCUGGGAACUGCGUUCUGAACUGGGUGACUAGAGUGUGUCAGAGGGAGGUAGAAUUCCACGUGUAGCAGUGAAAUGCGUAGAGAUGUGGAGGAAUACCGAUGGCGAAGGCAGCCUCCUGGGAUAACACUGACGUUCAUGCCCGAAAGCGUGGGUAGCAAACAGGAUUAGAUACCCUGGUAGUCCACGCCCUAAACGAUGUCGAUUAGCUGUUGGGCAGCAUGACUGCUUAGUAGCGAAGCUAACGCGUGAAAUCGACCGCCUGGGGAGUACGGUCGCAAGAUUAAAACUCAAAGGAAUUGACGGGGACCCGCACAAGCGGUGGAUGAUGUGGAUUAAUUCGAUGCAACGCGAAGAACCUUACCKGUCUUGACAU
rnacentral:rRNA from 1 species